AUUCCGUGAUGAGAGCACUUUCGUAAUAACUCUUUGAAUCUUUCCCAUGCCUCAUACAAGGACUCAACAUCCAUUUGCUGGAAAGCAGUAAUCUCAUUUCUCAGCUU
rfam:Gossypium hirsutum cultivar TM-1 unplaced genomic scaffold scaffold2327.1, whole genome shotgun sequence